GGGGAUAUAGUUCAGCAGUAGAGUGUGUGCUUAGCGUGCAUGAGGCCCUGGGUUUUAUCCCUAGUACCUCCA
rnacentral:tRNA from 1 species